CCUACGGGAGGCAGCAGUAGGGAAUCUUUCACAAUGGGCGAAAGCCUGAUGGAGCAACGCCGCGUGCAGGAUGAAGGCCUUCGGGUUGUAAACUGCUUUUAUAAGCGAGAAAUAUGAUGGUAACUUAUGAAUAAGGAUCUGCUAACUACGUGCCAGCAGCCGCGGUCAUACGUAGGAUCCGAGCAUUAUCCGGAGUGACUGGGUGUAAAGAGUUGCGUAGGUGGCAUAAUAAGUAGCUAGUGAAAUCUGGUGGCUCAACCAUUCAGCCUAUUAGCUAAACUGUUAAGCUCGAGACCGUUAGGGGUAACUGGAAUUUCUAGUGUAGGAGUGAAAUCCGUAGAUAUUAGAAGGAACACCAAUAGCGUAGGCAGGUUGCUGGGACGGUUCUGACACUAAGGCACGAAAGCGUAGGGAGCAAACGGGAUUAGAUACCCUAGUAGUC
rnacentral:rRNA from 1 species